rnacentral:rRNA from 1 species
UACGUAGGUGGCAAGCGUUGUCCGGAUUUAUUGGGUUUAAAGGGUGCGUAGGCGGUCUUCUAAGUCAGUUGUGAAAUCCUUCAGCUUAACUGGAGAGGUGCAAUUGAUACUGGAAGACUUGAGUACUGAUGAGGUAGGCGGAAUGGACGGUGUAGCGGUGAAAUGCUUAGAUAUCGUCCAGAACACCGAUAGCGAAGGCAGCUUACUAAGGAGUAACUGACGCUGAGGCACGAAAGUGUGGGGAUCAAACAGG